rnacentral:tRNA from 1 species
GCCUCGAUAGCUCAGUUGGUAGAGCGGGUGGCUGUUAACCACUAGGUCCGAGGUUCGAGUCCUCGUCGAGGCGCCA